GGGCAUAUAGCUCAGUUGGUUAGAGCGCCACGCUUAUAAUGUGGAUGUCGAUGGUCCGAGUCCAUCCAUGCCCACCA
rnacentral:tRNA from 2 species